UACGUAGGAUGCAAGCGUUGUCCGGAAUUAUUGGGCGUAAAGCGAACGUAGGCGGUUUCUUAAGAUUGGUCUUAAAGACCGGGGCUCAACCUCGGGAAUGGAUCGAUAACUGGGGAGACUGGAGGACGUCAGAGGCAAGUGGAAUUUUGUAGUGUAGCAGUGAAAUGCGUAGAGAUUACAAGGAACACCAAUGGCGAAGGCAGCUUGCUGGGCCUUUUCUGACGCUGAGGGUACGAAAAGCGUGGGGGAGCGAACAGG
rnacentral:rRNA from 1 species